rnacentral:rRNA from 1 species
AGUGAACGCUGGCGGUAUGCCUAACACAUGCAAGUCGAACGGCAGCACAGUAAGAGCUUGCUCUCACGGGUGGCGAGUGGCGGACGGGUGAGGAAUACAUCGGAAUAUACUUUUUCGUGGGGGCUAACGUAGGGAAACUUACGCUAAUACAGCAUACGACCUACGGGUGAAAGCAGGGGAUCUUCGAGCCUUGUGCGAUUGAAUGAGCCGAUGUCGGAUUAGAUAGUUGGCGGGGUAAAGGCGCACCUAGGCGACGAUCCGUAGCUGGUCUGAGAGGAUGAUCACCUAGACUGGAUGUGAGACACGUCCCAGACUCCUACGGGAGGAAGCAGUGGGGAAUAUUGGACAAGGGGCGAAAGGCUGAUCCUGGAAUACCGCGUGGGUGAUGAAGCACUUAGGGUGGGAAAGUCAUGUUGUUGUGAAAGAAAAGCAGCAGUUUAAUACCCCGCGGUUCUGACGGUACCGAAAGAAUAAGCUCCGGCUAACUUCGUG